rnacentral:misc_RNA from 1 species
GAAAUGCGAUAAGUAAUGUGAAUUGCAGAAUUCAGUGAAUCAUCGAAUCUUUGAACGCACAUUGCGCCCGCCAGCACUCUGUCGGGCAUGCCUGUUCGAGCGUCAUUUCAACCCUCAGAACCCCUUGCGGGAUCUGGCGUUGGGGAUUGGCAUCCAGCCAGCCCCGAGAUCUAGUGGCGGUCCCUCCGCGACCUCCCCUGUGCAGUAGCGAUACCUCGCAGCGGGACAGCGGUCUGACCACGCCGUAAAACCCCCAACUUCUCAAGGUUGACCUCGAAUCAGGUAGGAAUACCCGCUGAACUUAAGC